UUCCUUUCGGUCAACGAGGAUGUACCUCGUUGAUCGGAAGGAAACCCUUCUGAUCAACGAGGUACCUUGCCUCGUUGACCGGAAGGAA
rnacentral:miRNA from 1 species